GAUGAAGAACGCAGCGAAAUGCGAUACGUAGUGUGAAUUGCAGAAUUCCGUGAACCAUCGAAUCUUUGAACGCAAAUUGCGCUCGAGGCCUCGGCCAAGAGCAUGUCUGCCUCAGCGUCGGCUACUACCCUCAACUAAGUUUCCUAUACACAUAGGGGAUGCCGGUUGGAUCUGGCCGUCCGGUUUGCCUUUUAGGUUGCCGGUCAGCUGAAAUACAUUCACGCUCUGGGGGCUGCUUUCCUUCCGAGGAGAGGCGAGUUCCGAUUUGGUAGGUGACCUUUGCCGGUUGCAUGCCUUCGUUGCCCGCUAAGCUUUCCAGUAUGCGUUGUGCAGGACGCCUUUUGGCUUUCGACCUGAGGACAGGCAAGAACACCCGCUGAACUUAAGCAUAUCAAUAAGCGGAGGA
rnacentral:misc_RNA from 1 species